rnacentral:snRNA from 1 species
AGAUUUGCGCAGUGGCAGUAUCGUAGCCAAUGAGGUUUAUCCGAGGCGCGAUUAUUGCUAAUUGAAAGCUGAUCACAGAAGCUCAAAUAUUAUUUUUUAAUCCCCCUAAAAUAGUGUUCAUAAUUUCGGAAAGGUUUCUGGAUUAAUAAAU